rnacentral:rRNA from 1 species
AUGGCAUCUAUUUCGAAGCUUCUGCUUCUCCUGCUGUGCACCUACCACACUCUCGUUGCUCACGCAGGAGAUGACCUUCGCAGCUACAAGCCCGUUGGCUCUCCGGAAUCUGCCACCGUCAACUGCUCCCAGCCCAAAGCCGCGACUCCAUCGUCCGGUGGCGUCACGGUGCCGUUGCACCACCGGCACGGCCCGUGCUCACCCCUGCCCUCCACGAAGGCGCCAACCUGGGAGGAGAUACUCAGGCAUGACCAGCUCCGAGCGGCCUACGUCACACGAAAGUUCUCCGGCGUCAAGGGCGGCGCCGGAGACGUCGAGCAAUCAGACGUCACGCUGCCGACCAGGCUGGGCACCUCCAUGAGCACGUUGGAGUACGUGAUCACCGUCGGCAUCGGCUCGCCGGCCGUGACCCAGACCAUGACCAUCGACACCGGCAGCGACGUGUCGUGGGUGCAGUGCAAGCCGUGUUCCCAGUGCCGCUCCCAGGCGAACCCGCUCUUUGACCCCAGCUCGUCCAGCACCUACUCCCCGUUCUCCUGCAGCUCCGCCGCCUGCGCGCAGGUCAGCCAGGACGGGCAGGGGAACGGCUGCUCCGGCUCCCAGUGCCAGUACAUCGUCACCUACGGGGACCAGUCGAGCACGGCCGGGACCUACAGCUCCGACACCCUCGCGCUGGGCUCCAUCACCGUCAGAAACUUCCAGUUCGGGUGCAGCCAGUCCAACUCGGGCCUCCUUCUGACGCAACAAACCGCGGGGCUCAUGGGGCUGGGCGGCGGCGCAGAGUCUCUCGUGUCCCAGACCGCGGGGACCUUGGGCAGGGCCUUCUCCUACUGCCUCCCGCCGAAUCCAGGCUCGCGCGGGUUCCUCACUCUCGGCGCACCAACUUCCACUUCCGGCUUCGUCACGACGCCCAUGUACAGGAACCGCGGGGCGCUGACGUUCUACGCCGUGCGCCUUCAGGCCAUCCGGGUGGGAGGCAGGCAGCUCAACAUACCCGCCUCCGUCUUCUCCGCCGUCUCCAUCGUCGACUCCGGCACCAUCAUCACGCGGCUGCCGCCCACCGCGUACUCGGCGCUGGCCUCCGCGUUCAAGGCCGGCAUGAAGCGCUACCCGACCAGCGGGGGCUCCGACACGUGCUUCGACUUCAGCGGCCAGUCCAACAUCAGCGUGCCCAGCGUCGCGCUCGUGUUCUCCGGGGGCGCCGUCGUCAACCUCGCCUUUGACGGGAUCAUUCAGGACGGCUGCCUCGCCUUCACGGACAGCGGCGAUGACCGCUCCAUCGGCAUCAUCGGCAACGUGCAGCAGCGGACGUUUGAGGUGCUGUACGACGUCGGUGGCGGCUCCUUCGGGUUCAAAGCAGGUGCAUGCUGA